rnacentral:rRNA from 1 species
GACGAACGCUGGCGGCGUGCUUAACACAUGCAAGUCGAACGGAAAGGCCCUGCUUUUGUGGGGUGCUCGAGUGGCGAACGGGUGAGUAACACGUGAGUAACCUGCCCUUGACUUUGGGAUAACUUCAGGAAACUGGGGCUAAUACCGGAUAGGAGCUCCUGCUGCAUGGUGGGGGUUGGAAAGUUUCGGCGGUUGGGGAUGGACUCGCGGCUUAUCAGCUUGUUGGUGGGGUAGUGGCUUACCAAGGCUUUGACGGGUAGCCGGCCUGAGAGGGUGACCGGCCACAUUGGGACUGAGAUACGGCCCAGACUCCUACGGGAGGCAGCAGUGGGGAAUAUUGCACAAUGGGCGGAAGCCUGAUGCAGCAACGCCGCGUGCGGGAUGACGGCCUUCUGGUUGUAAACCGUUUUCGCCUGUGACGAAGCGUGAGUGACGGUAAUGGGUAAAGAAGCACCGGCUAACUACGUG